rnacentral:piRNA from 1 species
UAAACGAUUUGGCUUUUGUAC